rnacentral:rRNA from 1 species
UACAGAGGGUGCAAGCGUUAAUCGGAAUUACUGGGCGUAAAGCGCGCGUAGGUGGUUCAGUAAGUUGGAAGUGAAAUCCCCGGGCUCAACCUGGGAACUGCUUUCAAAACUGCCGAGCUAGAGUACGGUAGAGGGUGGUGGAAUUUCCUGUGUAGCGGUGAAAUGCGUAGAUAUAGGAAGGAACACCAGUGGCGAAGGCGACCACCUGGACUGAUACUGACACUGAGGUGCGAAAGCGUGGGGAGCAAACAGG